AUUGAACGCUGGCGGCAGGCCUAACACAUGCAAGUCGAACGAGUGGCGGACGGGUGAGUAACGUCUGGGAAACUGCCUGAUGAGGGGGGAUAACUACUGGAAACGGUAACUAAUACCGCCUACCAUCUGAUUUGCCCAGAUGGGAUUAGCUAGUAGGUGGGGUAACGGCUCACCUAGGCGACGAUCCCUAGCCGGUCUGAUAGGAUGACCAGCCACACUGGAACUGAGACCCGGUCCAGACUCCUACGGAAGGCAGCAGGGGGGAAUAUUGCACAAUGGGCGCAAGCCUGAUGCAGCAAGGCGGCUUGUAUGUGGAAGGCCUUCGGGUUGAAAAGUACUUUCAGCGGGGAGGCGUUACCCGCAUAAGAAGCACCGGCUAACUACGUGCCAGCAGCCGCGGUAAUAC
rnacentral:rRNA from 1 species